AUUUAACGCUGGCGGCAGGCCUAACACAUGCAAGUCGAGCGGAGCGGCGGACGGGUAAGUAAUGCCUAGGAAUCUGCCUGGUAGUGGGGGAUAACGUCCGGAAACGGGCGCUAAUACCGCAUACUAUCAGAUGAGCCUAGGUCGUAUUAGCUAGUUGGUGGGGUAAAGGCCUACCAACGCGACGAUCCGUAACUGGUCCGAGAGGAUGAUCAGUCACACUAGAACUGAGACACGGGCCAGACUCCUACGAGAGGCAGCAGUGGGGAAUAUUGGACAAUGGGCGAAAGCCUGAGACAGACAUGGCGCGUGUGUGAAGAAGGUCUUAGGAUUGUAAAGCACUUUAAGUUGGGAGGCGUUACCAACAGAAUAAGCACCGGCUAACUUCGUGCCAGCAGCCGCGGUAAUAC
rnacentral:rRNA from 1 species